UCGAGGGGAAACGAAGCGGGAGCUUGCUUCUGCUGUCGUCGACCGGCGCACGGGUGAGUAACGCGUAUCCAACCUGGCCUGAGGUAAGGGAUAAUCCGCAGAAAUGUGGUCUAAUACCUUAUGUGCUCCUAUGAGGCCAUCUGAAGAGGAGCAAAGAUUUAUCGCCUUAGGAUGGGGAUGCGUCUGAUUAGAUAGUUGGCGGGGCAACGGCCCACCAAGUCAUCGAUCAGUAGGGGUUCUGAGAGGAAAGUCCCCCACAUUGGAACUGAGACACGGUCCAGACUCCUACGGGAGGCAGCAGUGAGGAAUAUUGGUCAAUGGGCGAGAGCCUGAACCAGCCAAGUAGCGUGCAGGAUGACGGCCCUAUGGGUUGUAAACUGCUUUUAUGCGGGUAUAAAGGAGCAUACGUGUAUGUUUUUGCAGUUACCGCAUGAAUAAGGACCGGCUAAUUCCGUGCCAGCAGCCGCGGUAAUACGGAAGGUUCUGGUGUUAUCCGGAUUUAUUGGGUUUAAAGGGAGCGCAGGCUGUCAGAUAAGCGUGUUGUGAAAUGCGGUUGCUCAACAUCCGCACUGCAGCGCGAACUGUCUGACUUGAGUACGCACGACGUUGGUGGAAUUUGCCGUGUAGCGGUGAAAUGCUUAGAUAUGGCGAAGAACUCCGAUUGCGAAGGCAGCUGACGGGAGCGCUACUGACGCUCAUGCUCGAAAGUGCGGGUAUCGAACAGGAUU
rnacentral:rRNA from 1 species